AUUGAACGCUGGCGGCAGGCCUAACACAUGCAAGUCGAGCGGAGCGGCGGACGGGUGAGUAAUGCCUAGGAAUCUGCAUGGUAGUGGGGGAUAACGUCCGGAAACGGGCGCUAAUACCGCAUACUAUCAGAUGAGCCUAGGUCGGAUUAGCUAGUUGGUUGGGUAACGGCCCACCAAGGCGACGAGCCGUACCUGGUCUGAGAGGAUGAUCAGUCACACGGGAACUGAGAAACGGUCCAGACGCCUACGGGAGGCAGCAGUGGUGAAGAUUGGACAAUGGGCGAAAGCCGGAUGCAGCCAUGCCGCGUGUGUGAAGAAGGGAUUCGGAUUGUAAAGUACUUUAAGUUGGGAGGCGUUACCAACAGAAUAAGCAUCGGCUAACUUCGUGCCAGUAGCCGCGGUAAUAC
rnacentral:rRNA from 1 species